ensembl:lncRNA FAM230H family with sequence similarity 230 member H
AGCAGUUGGACCUCACAGUGUGGAUUGUGCCUUCACCCUGGAAUGUUUAUGCCCUAUCGCCAUGGUGAUGGGAUUAGGGAUCUUCUGCCCUUGGUCCUAAGUGCCACUAUCUGUGCUGAGUUUUUCAAAGGUCAGAGCAGAUUGAACCAUUGUGGUUUCAUUUUCCCUGAUUUUGAUUUUUCUUAUGGGGAACCUGUGUGGCUGCAUUCAAGGUGACUCGAAGAAGCCUUCCAAAAAGCAUGUGAAAAGGAAGCCCUACUCUACUACCAAGGUGACUUCAGGGAGCACAUUCAAUGAGAAUACAAGAAGAUAUGCUGUGCACACCAACCAGUGUAGGAGACCUCAUGGCUCCCGGGUAAAGAAGAAGAGGUACCCACAAGAAGAUGACUUCCAUCAUACAGUCUUCAGCAACCUUGAAAGAUUGGACAAGCUUCAGCCCACUCUUGAAGCCUCUGAGGAGUCUCUAGUUCACAAGGACAGAGGAGAUGGAGAGAGGCCAGUCAACGCGAGGGUGGUGCAGGUGGCCCCUCUGAGGCUUGAAUCUACUCCCCAUGAGGACACCGUACACGACAUCACUAACGAGGACGCCACACACGACAUCGCUAACGAGGAUACUGUACACGACAUCGCUAACGAGGCCGCCGACAAGGGCAUCGCCAACGAGGACGCCGCCCACGGCAUCGCCAACGAGGACGCCGCCCACGGCAUCGCCAGCGAGGACGCCGCCCACGGAAUCGCCAGCGAGGACGCCGCCCACGGCAUCGCCAGCGAGGACGCCGCCCAGGGCAUCGCCAACGAGGACGCCGCCCAGGGCAUCGCCAAGGAGGACGCCGUCCACGGCAUCGCCAACGAGGACGCCGCCCAGGGCAUCGCCAACGAGGACGCCGCCCAGGGCAUCGCCAAGGAGGACGCCGCCCAGGGCAUCGCCAACGAGGACGCCGCCCAGGGCAUCGCCAAAGAGGACGCCGCCCAGGGCAUCGCCAAGGAGGACGCCGCCCAGGGCAUCGCCAACGAGGGCGCCGCCCAGGGCAUCGCCAAAGAGGACGCCGCCCAUGGCAUCGCCAACGAGGACGCCGCCCAGGGCAUCGCCAACGAGGACGCCGCCCACGGAAUCGCCAGCGAGGACGCCGCCCACGGCAUCGCCAGCGAGGACGCCGUCCAGGGCAUCGCCAAGGAGGAUGCCGCCCAGGGCAUCGCCAACGAGGACGCCGCCCAGGGCAUCGCCAACGAGGACGCCGCCCAGGGCAUCGCCAAAGAGGACGCCGCCCACGGCAUCGCCAACGAGCUGUAUACGACAUCGCUAACGAGGACACCCUACAAGCCGUCGCUAACAAGUACACUGUACACAACAUCGCUAAUGAGGGCACUGUACAAGACAUCACCAAUGAGGGCGCUUUAUACGACAUUGCUAAUGGCACCGACAAGGCACGCUAACGUGGACGCUGUACACGACAUUGCUAAUGAGGACAGCGUAUAAGACAUCGCUAGUAACUAUCGCAAGAACAAAAAACCAAACACCGCAUAUUCUCACUCAUAGAUGGGAAUUGAACAAUGAGAUCACAUGGACACAGGAAGGGGAAUAUCACACUCUGGGGACUGUUGUGGGGUUGGGGGGGGAGGGAUAGCAUCGGGAGAUAUACCUAAUGCUAGAUGAUGAGUUAGUGGGUGCAGCGCACCAGCACGGCACAUGUAUACAUAUGUAACUAACCUGCACAAUGUGCACAUGUACCCUAAAACUUAAAGUAUAUAUAUAUAAAAAAAGACAUCGCUAGUGAGCACGCUGUAUACGACAUCGCUAAUGAGGACACCAUACAAGGCAUCGCUAACGAUGACGCUGUACACAACAUCACUAAUGAUGACACCGUAUAAGACAUCGCUAAUUAUGACGCUGUAUACGACAUCGCUAAUGACACCGUACAAGGCACGCUAACGAGGAUGCUGUACACGACAUCACUAAUGAGGACAGUGUACAAGCCAUCACUAAUGAGGACACUGUAUAUGGCAUCGCUAACGAGGACACUGUACAAGGCAUUGCUAACGAGGACGCUGUACACAACAUCGCUAAUGAGGACACCAUAUAAGACAUCACCAAUGAGGAUGCUGUAUAUGACAUCGCUAAUGGCACCCACAAGGCAUGCUAACGAGGACGCUGUAGACGACAUUGCUUAUAAGGACACCGUACAAGACAUCGCUAACGAGGACGCUGUAUACGACAUCGCUAAUGAGGACGUUGUAUAUGACAUCGCUAAUGAGGAUGCUUUACAAGACAUAGCGAAUGAGGUUGCUGUAUAUGACAUCGCUAAUGAGGACAUUGUAUAUGACAUCGCUAAUGAGGACGCUCUAUACGACAUCACUAAUGAGGACGCUGUAUACAACAUCGCUAAUGAGGACGCUGUAUAUGGCAUCGCUAAUGAGGAUGCUGUAUACGAAUUCGCUAAUAAGGACGCUGUAUAUGACAUUGCUAAUGAGGACACUGUACAAGACAUCUGUAAAAAAGAAGAUGCUGCCAAUGAGCCAUUGACACUGGAGAAUGAUACGUACCCUGAAAUAACUCACUUCCUGAGGAAAAAGCGCCAUCUCUAGGAUUUGAUUGUGGAGAGCAUAUCUGAUGAUGGGGAUUUGUAGGACUUUAAAAAGCACUCAUGUUUCCAUCCUCACUGUUGACUCCUGGCUUAAAGGGAUCUCCCGGGGUGAGUGAGGAGGCGGGAUCGGACCCUGGCAGUCUGACGGCAGCACCUGUGUUCCUCUGCACUGGGCCGUGGAUGACAUUACACACCUUGCCACUCCCACGGUCCUGUGUGUUCCGGAUAUUUUAAAAUAAUGGCUAUAAGGUUGAGCACUUCAGGAUACGCUGUUUUGCUGUGUGCAGAUGGAGGCAGUGGCUGGAGUGAAUGAACGGCAACACUUGCUGGCAACCGGCAGAAGCUGAGAGACAGGGAACAGGCUCUCCUCCAGAGCCUCCAGGAGCCAGGCCUUUGGCCACCUUGAAUGUGGGCUUCUGGGAGACCAUGCGUUUCUGUUAUAAGCAGCCCAGUCUCUGGCAGUUUUUACGGCUGCCCCGGAACACUCAUCUAUACCUGUCUGACAAGGUCAAGCUCCAAGGAAGGGACUCUCUACAUAUCUACAUUGUUUGCAGAUUUUACAAUAAUCAUUUAUUCUUGCAUGGCUGAUCAUUGUUAACCAAUACAAAUAAAAUAAUAAAGAAAUGACCCACA